rnacentral:rRNA from 1 species
UACGUAGGGACCAAGCGUUGUUCGGAUUUACUGGGCGUAAAGGGCGCGUAGGCGGCGUGUUGAGUCACUUGUGAAAUCUCUGAGCUUAACUCAGAACGGCCAAGUGAUACUGCUGUGCUAGAGUGCAGAAGGGGCAAUCGGAAUUCUUGGUGUAGCGGUGAAAUGCGUAGAUAUCAAGAGGAACACCUGAGGUGAAGACGGGUUGCUGGGAUGGCCCUGACGCUGAGGAGCGAAAGCCAGGGGAGCAAACAGG